ensembl:miRNA
GGACAAGGGCGGCGCGACCGGCCCGGGGCUCUUGGGCAGCCGCGUUUCCCAUCC